UAAUUGGUAUUCAAUUAUGAAACCAAAUUCAAAAAAUAAAUAAAUUCAAGUUAAAAACUUAACAACUUAUAUCCACAACAAGUGGAAUGAGAAUGGAGG
rfam:Clostridium botulinum D str. 1873 CLG.Contig181, whole genome shotgun sequence.